AACUGCCGUUCCAUAUUUUUCUAAAAACUGGAACGAUACAAAGAAGAUUAGCAUGGGCCCUGCCCAAGGAUGACACUCAAAUUCGCGAAGCGUUCUAUAUUUUU